rnacentral:rRNA from 1 species
CCUACGGGUGGCAGCAGUGGGGGAUAUUGCACAAUGGGGGAAACCCUGAUGCAGCGACGCCGCGUGAGUGAAGAAGUACUUCGGGAUGUAAAGCUCUAUCAGCAGGGAAGAAAAUGACGGUACCUGAGUAAGAAGCCCCGGCUAACUACGUGCCAGCAGCCGCGGGAAUACGUAGGGGGCAAGCGUUAUCCGGAAUUACGGGGUGUAAAGGGAGCGUAGACGGGAGCACAAGUCUGGAGGUAAAUUCCGGGGCUUAACCCCGGAACUGCUUUGGAAACUGUGCAGCUAGAGUGCAGGAGAGGUAAGUGGAAUUCCUAGUGUAGCGGUGAAAUGCGUAGAUAUUAGGAGGAACACCAGUGGCGAAGGCGGCUUACUGGACUGUAACUGACGUUGAGGCUCGAAAGCGUGGGGAGCAAACAGGAUUAGAUACCCCUGUAGUC